GAUGAACGCUGGCGGCGUGCCUAAUACAUGCAAGUCGAGCGAACAGACGAGGAGCUUGCUCCUUUGACGUUAGCGGCGGACGGGUGAGUAACACGUGGGUAACCUACCUAUAAGACUGGGAUAACUUCGGGAAACCGGAGCUAAUACCGGAUAAUAUUUCGAACCGUAUGGUUCGAUAGUGAAAGAUGGCUUUGCUAUCACUUAUAGAUGGACCUGCGCCGUAUUAGCUAGUUGGUAAGGUAACGGCUUACCAAGGCAACGAUACGUAGCCGACCUGAGAGGGUGAUCGGCCACACUGGAACUGAGACACGGUCCAGACUCCUACGGGAGGCAGCAGUAGGGAAUCUUCCGCAAUGGGCGAAAGCCUGACGGAGCAACACCGCGUGAGUGAUGAAGGUCUUCGGAUCGUAAAACUCUGUUAUUAGGGAAGAACAAACGUGUAAGUAACUGUGCACGUCUUGACGGUACCUAAUCAGAAAGCCACGGCUAACUACGUG
rnacentral:rRNA from 1 species